rnacentral:rRNA from 1 species
CGGGGUUACUAAGGGCGUACAGUGGAUGCCUUGGCACCGAAAGCCGAUGAAGGACGUGAUUACCUGCGAUAAGCUGCGGGGAGCUGGAUAUAAGCUUCGAUCCGCGGAUUUCCGAAUGGGGAAACCCAGUUAGUUUUAUCACUAACUACACAUAGAUGAAUAAAUAGUCUAUGAUGAGACAACCUAGGGAACUGAAACAUCUAAGUACCUAGAGGAAAAGAAAGAGAAAUCGUAUUCCGUAAGUAGUGGCGAGCGAAAGCGGAACAGUCCAAACCAUUUAAUGGGGUUCGGAUUAGACAUCAAUGGGUUGCGAACAAGAAGAAGUGUUUGAAUGGCAUACCAUAGAAGGUGAAAGUCCUGUAUUCGUAAAAAUCGCAAUCAAGUCUAGUCCAGAGUACGGCGAGACACGUGGAAUCUUGUCGGAAUGUGCGGGGACCAUCCCGUAAGACUAAAUACUCUUCGGUGACCGAUAGUGAACCAGUACUGUGAAGGAAAGGUGAAAAGAACCGCGGGAGCGGAGUGAAAAGAAUCUGAAACUGUAUGCUUACAAAAAGUCAGAGGGCGUUAAGGCCUGAUGACGUGCCUAUUGAAGAAUGAGCCGGCGAGUUAUGUGCACUUGCAAGGUUAAGGAGGAGAUCCGGAGCCGUAGCGAAAGCGAGUCUGAACAGGGCGAAUAAGUAUGUGCAUGUAAACCCGAAACCCGACGAUCUAGACAUGAGCAGGAUGAAGUUGGAGUAAAAUCCAAUGGAGGUCCGAACCGACGUUCGUUGAAACGCCCGCGGAUGACUUGUGUCUCGUGGAGAAAUUCCAAUCGAGUCGGGUUAUAGCUGGUUCUCCUCGAAAUAGCUUUAGGGCUAGCCUUGGAUAAAUUGACAUGUGCAGGUAGAGCACUGAAUGUGAAAGGGCCGCGCUAAGCGGUACCGAUUGCAAUCAAACUCCGAAUGGUACAUGUUUUACUCCAGGAGUCAGACUGUGGGAGAUAAGUUUCAUGGUCAAAAGGGAAAAAGCCCAGAUCACCAAUUAAGGUCCCUAAAUUCACGCUAAGUGUCAAAGGAUGUGGAAAUACUUAAACAGCUAGGAUGUUGGCUCAGAGGCUGCCAUCAUUUAAAGAAUGCGUAACAGCUCACUAGUCAAGUGUUUCUGCGCCAAAAAUUUACCGGGGCUAAGCGUGGUACCGAAAUUGUGAAUAUAUUCUAAAUAUAUGGUAGGGGAGCGUUCUAUGUGCGUCGAAGUUAUACCGGAAGGAGUGGUGGAGCGCAUAGAAGUGAGAAUGCCGGCGUAAGUAACGAAAAGGGGUGAGAAUCCCCUUCACCGUUUGACUAAGGUUUCCUGGGCAAGGUUCGUCCACCCAGGGUUAGUCGGGGACUAAGGUCAGGCCGAAUGGCGUAGCCGAUGUACAGCAGGUUGAUAUUCCUGCACCCGCUAGUGUAGUGAUGAGCGUGACGGAUAAGGCUAAACGUACCCACGGUUGGAUGUGUGGGGAGAAGUACAUAGCCCUGCUUGAGGUAAAGUCCUUGAGCAACAAGGGUAAAGUAUCAAGUACGAAUGGGGUGACCCUAGUAGGAAAUCGUUGAUGCCAGGUCCCAAGAAAAGCGCCUAGCGUUUAAUCACUAGCGGCCCGUACCGAGAACGGACACACGUGGUCAAGGAGAGUAUCCUAAGGUGAGCGAGAUAACUGUUGUUAAGGAACUCUGCAAAAUUACUUCGUAAGUUAGCGAGAAGAAGUGCCACAGCGAUGUGGUCGCAGUGAAGAGGCCCAAGUAACUGUUUACCAAAAACACAGCUCUAUGCUAAGUCGUAAGAUGAUGUAUAUGGGGUGAAGCCUGCCCGGUGCUGGAAGGUUAAAAGGAGAGGUUAGCGCAAGCGAAGCUUUGAAUUGAAGCCCCAGUGAACGGCGGCCGUAACAAUGACGGUCCUAAGGUAGCGAAAUUCCUUGUCAGGUAAGUUCUGACGUGCACGAAUGGUUUAAUAAUUUGGGCGCUGUCUCGACAGCAGACUCGGUGAAAUCUUAAUACCUGUGAAGAUGCAGGUUACCCGCGACUAGACGGAAAGACCCCAUAGAGCUUUACUACAACUUAAUAUUGAGUAAUUGUAAAUCAUGUACAGGAUAGGUGGGAGACUUUGAUGUUGGGGCGUCAGCUUCAGCGGAGUCGGCGUUGGGAUACCACUCUUGAUUUACAAUUAUUCUAACUUGCGGCCUGGACGGUUGCGAGGACAGUGUUAGGCGGGUAGUUUGACUGGGGCGGUCGCCUCCCAAAGAGUAACGGAGGCGCUCAAAGGUACCCUCAACAUGGUCGGAAAUCAUGUGUAGAGUGCAAAUGCAUAAGGGUGCUUGACUGCGAGACCUACAAGUCGAGCAGGUACGAAAGUAGGAAUUAGUGACCAGGCGGUUUCAGUAUGGAAUGGCCGUCGCUUAACGGAUAAAAGCUACCUUGGGGAUAACAGGCUGAUCGCAUCCAAGAGUUCACUUCGACGAUGCGGUUUGGCACCUCGAUGUCGGCUCAUCACAUCCUGGAGGGGCAGCACCUUCCAAGGGUUAGGCUGUUCGCCUAUUAAAGUGGUACGCGAGCUGGGUUCAAAACGUCGUGAGACAGUUUGGUCCCUAUCUGUCGUGGGCGUAGGAAGUUUGACAGGAUUCGUCCCUAGUACGCAAGGACCAGGAUGAACAUUGCUACGGUACACCAGUUGUCACGCCAGUGGCACAGCUGGGUAGCCGCCAAUGGAACGGAUAAACGCUGAAAGCAUCUAAGCGUGAAACCGGCCUGAAGAUUAGACUUCCGUUCGCAAGAAAUAAGAUCCGUCCAAUGUUAGGACGUUGAUAGGUCACAGAUGUAAGUGCUGUAAGGCAUUAAGUCGAGUGAUACUAAUAGAUCGAAUCACUUAUUUCA